CGAUGAAAAGAUGGAACUAUUACAAUGUAUAACUAUUUUUUAAAUUAAAUCUUGAAUUCGGAAAUUUCUAUUUUGCAACAUGCAUACACUACUGAUCAGUUGAAUAGAAGGAACGUGGAACGGAGUUGUAAUGUCGUUUAUGUUGUUUCUAUGCGCAGUGAACGAUAUUUUGUUUAUAAUUAUAUAAUAAUAACUAAUAGUAUUGUAAGGCGGCAUAAUUUUACGAAAAAUAAAAAAAAAAACAUGUCUAUCGAAAGUAGCAGUAUUCCCGUGACCAUUGAAUUCGGAGGUGGGGCAGAAUUACUUUUCGACAAAAAGAAAAAGCACUCUGUGAACUUACCUGGAAACGAAUGGACUAUAGAAAAGUUACUUUUCUGGAUAAAAGAUAACCUUUUAAAAGAACGACCGGAACUUUUUAUGCAAGGAGACACCGUAUCAACAUGGCACCUUACGAGUUUCGCGGUUUUAAUCGAGAGGGCAGCACAGUUCACAUUAAUGGAGUUACAACUACAAAGAUAGCUCAUUCAUUUAUACAUGCGACCAGGAAUUUUGGUACUUGUAAAUGACACCGAUUGGGAAUUAUUGGGCGAGAGCAAUUACAAGAUAAAUUCAGGCGACACGAUAUUGUUUAUAUCCACCUUACACGGAGGAUAGGACGCAUUUUUACGCAAGAGGACAAGACGGCGAUCCAUGAAGAGGAAAUCAAAGAUGGUGGUGUGCGACUUGGUUCGAUCGCUGUGGGGAAAAUGAUAAUUUCGCAGGACACUUGUUUGUGUGAAGUACGCGCACACGUGCACACUGUCAGAGAAUAAAAUGCUCAUUCGCACGACGUACGUUUGAGAUGUUCCACGUAA